rnacentral:misc_RNA from 1 species
ACUAAGUUUACGCCUCAUAAAGUUUAGUUUAGUUGUGUAGUCUAAAUUACAUUAUUAUUCUAAAUAUUAUUAUAUAUUGCCCUAAACUCAAGAUAUAUCAAUUUUGAAGCCUCUGGAGUUGCUCCACGAGAAAUCAGCUCAGGAAAUGGCGGACAACCAGCAAGAAUCGCAGCCAAGCUCCAUUAUGUCUCCGCAGCAGAGUUCUUUGGACACUUUCCAACCAGAAGGCGGACAAAAGCCCGAGCCUCAGGUGUCCGGGAACAAUUUCGUCAAGUUUGCGACCAAAGUGGCCAACAUUUCUAAACUUGGUCAGCCCAAGUCGCCAACCUCGCCCACACCGUCGGGGAACAAAAUGGAUUUUUAAAAUUACAUUGAUGUAUGACAAGAUGUAAUUUUUUUUUUCAUAAAUAACCAAUGUAAUUGA